CUGUGGUUGUGACCAGUUGGAGAGACAUUAGGAGAUGAGAUACUAUGUUCACUCCUCACAGCUGUACCAGGGACCUGAGAUAUUCCGUCACUAUUCUAUGAGAUUUUGGAGAUCCCACCAGUGGUUUUCCGGUGCCAGGGUAUGAGAAGAUAGUCUCCAUGUCCAAACUCACAAUUUCAGAACAAAUUUCAUCAAGAUAAAGGCCUGGGCUGGUGAAUGGUUCCUGCUUUCACUAUUCCAGAUGUCCAGCUCUGUACCUUGCUGCUCUCCUUAAAGCCUGCCUCCCUCUAGAUGGUCUGGCUUGAUGAUAUCCAACCUGACGUGGCCUGAAGAGACAGACAGUGGCUCUUGCUAGCUAAUUAUUGUCAGAUGGAUCGGCAGCCGACCAACGCUUCUGAAACUAUUGUUUUUGGCAAAUGUUCCUCAACAUUUUCCUGGUAUAUAAAUAAUGAUCCCUUGCAGAAA
rnacentral:lncRNA from 1 species